rnacentral:rRNA from 1 species
GGGUCAGUAGGUCGGUCGUGCCACCGGUACGUACUGGUCUCACUGAUUCCUCCUUCCUGAAGAACCGUAAUGCCAUUAAUUUGGUGUUGCGGGGAAACAGGACUGUUACUUUGAAAAAAUUAGAGUGUUUAAGGCAAGCUAACGCUUGAAUACAUUAGCAUGGAAUAAUGAAAUAGGACGAUCGAUCCUAUUUUGUUGGUUUCUAGGAUUGACGUA